rnacentral:rRNA from 1 species
GAUGAACGCUGGCGGAAUGCUUUACACAUGCAAGUCGAACGGCAGCACGGGUGCUUGCACCUGGUGGCGAGUGGCGAACGGGUGAGUAAUACAUCGGAACGUACCCAGUUGUGGGGGAUAACUAACCGAAAGGUUAGCUAAUACCGCAUACGAACUGAGGGUGAAAGCGGGGGACCGUAAGGCCUCGAACAAUUGGAGCGGCCGACGUCUGAUUAGCUAGUUUGUAGGGUAAAGGCCUACCAAGGCGACGAUCAGUAGCUGGUCUGAGAGGAUGAUCAGCCACACUGGAACUGAGACACGGUCCAGACUCCUACGGGAGGCAGCAGUGGGGAAUUUUGGACAAUGGGCGAAAGCCUGAUCCAGCCAUUCCGCGUGAGUGAAGAAGGCCUUCGGGUUGUAAAGCUCUUUCGGCAGGGAAGAAACGGCCUAGGUUAAUACCUUGGGCUAAUGACGGUACCUGAAGAAGAAGCACCGGCUAACUACGUGCCAGCAGCCGCAGUAA